GCCUGGGUGGCUCAGUCGGUUAAGCGUCUGACUUCAGCUCAGGUCAUGAUCUCGUGGUUCGUGAGUUCAAGCCCCUCAUCAGGCA
rnacentral:tRNA from 1 species